rnacentral:rRNA from 1 species
UACGGAGGGGGCUAGCGUUGUUCGGAAUUACUGGGCGUAAAGCGCGCGUAGGCGGACCUGUAAGUCGGGGGUGAAAGCCCGAGGCUCAACCUCGGAACUGCCUUCGAUACUGCGGGUCUCGAGUCCGGGAGAGGUGAGUGGAAUUCCUAGUGUAGAGGUGAAAUUCGUAGAUAUUAGGAAGAACACCAGUGGCGAAGGCGGCUCACUGGCCCGGUACUGACGCUGAGGCGCGAAAGCGUGGGGAGCGAACAGG